rnacentral:rRNA from 1 species
CGGCGUGUUUUAGGCAUGCAAGUCGAACGGUAACAGGCGGAAGCUUGCUUCUGUGCUGACGAGUGGCGGACGGGUGAGUAACGCGUAGGAAUCUACCGAUAGGUUUGGGAUAGCCACAAGAAAUUGUGGAUAAUACCGAAUGACACCGAGAGGUCAAAGGGGCGUAUGCCUCGCCUAUUGAUGAGCCUGCGACCCAUCAGGUAGUUGGGAGGGUAAAGGCCUACCAAGCCGAAGACGGGUAGCUGGUCUGAGAGGAUGAUCAGUCACAAUGGAACUGAGACACGGUCCCUACUCCUACGGGAGGCAGCAGCCGAGAAUAUUCCGCAAUGGGCGAAAGCCUGACGGAGCGACGCCGCGUGGGGGAAGAAGGCCUUCGGGUUGUAAACUCCUUUUCUUAGGGAAGAAUAAGUUACGGAGGAAAUGCCGUAGUGAUGACGGUACCUAAGGAAUAAGCCCCGGCUAAUUACGUGCCAGCAGCCGCGGUAAUACGUAAGGGGCAAGCGUUACUCGGAAUUACUGGGCGUAAAGGGCGCGCAGGCGGCCGCGCAAGUCAAAUGUAAAAAAUCACGGCUUAACCGUGGGUCUGCGUUUGAAACUGUGAGGCUAGAAUCUGGUGGAGGGUGAUGGAAUUCCCGGUGUAGCGGUGAAAUGCGUAGAGAUCGGGAAGAACACCAAAGGCGAAGGCAGUCAUCCAUGCCGAGAUUGACGCUGAGGCGCGAAAGCGUGGGUAGCAAACAGGAUUAGAUACCCUGGUAGUCCACGCUGUAAACGAUGUACACUAGGAGUUGGGGGGAUGCCCUUAGCUCCGCAGUUAACGCGAUAAGUGUACCGCCUGGGGACUACGACCGCAAGGUUGAAACUCAAAGAAAUUGACGGGGGCCCGCACAAGCGGUGGAGCAUGUGGUUUAAUUCGAUGAUAAGCGAAGAACCUUACCAGGGCUUGACAUGGUAAUGCCAUCGUUAGAAAUAAUGAGUUCCCGUAAGGGACGUUAUCACAGGUGUUGCAUGGUUGUCGUCAGCUCGUGCCGUGAGGUGUUGGGUUAAGUCCCGCAACGAGCGCAACCCCUGUUGCCAGUUGCUACAUUCAGUUGGGCACUCUGGCGAGACUGCCGGCGACAAGUCGGAGGGAGGAGGGGACGACGUCAAAUCAUCAUGGCCUUUAUGUCCUGGGCUACACACAUGCUACAAUGGUCGGUACAAACGGUAGCGAAGCCGCGAGGUGGAGCGAAUCUGAGAAAACCGGCCUCAAUAUGGAUUGCAGUCUGCAACUCGACUGCAUGAAACCGGAAUCGCUAGUAAUCGCAGGUCAGCAAUACUGCGGUGAAUACGUUCUCGGGCCUGUACACACCGCCCGUCACACCACUCGAGUUGGCUUCUCUUGAAGCCGGUUACCCCAACCGUAAGGAGGGGGCCG